GAUGAACGCUGGCGGCGUGCCUAAUACAUGCAAGUCGAGCGAACAGACGAGGAGCUUGCUCCUCUGACGUUAGCAGCGGACGGGUGAGUAACACGUGGAUAACCUACCUAUAAGACUGGGAUAACUUCGGGAAACCGGAGCUAAUACCGGAUAAUAUAUUGAACCGCAUGGUUCAAUAGUGAGAGACGGUUUUGCUGUCACUUAUAGAUGGAUCCGCGCCGCAUUAGCUAGUUGGUAAGGUAACGGCUUACCAAGGCAACGAUGCGUAGCCGACCUGAGAGGGUGAUCGGCCACACUGGAACUGAGACACGGUCCAGACUCCUACGGGAGGCAGCAGUAGGGAAUCUUCCGCAAUGGGCGAAAGCCUGACGGAGCAACGCCGCGUGAGUGAUGAAGGUCUUCGGAUCGUAAAACUCUGUUAUUAGGGAAGAACAAAUGUGUAAGUAACUAUGCACGUCUUGACGGUAUCUAAUCAGAAAGCCACGGCUAACUACGUG
rnacentral:rRNA from 1 species